GUGGGGGAUAUUGCACAAUGGAGGAAACUCUGAUGCAGCGACGCCGCGUGAGUGAAGAAGUAUUUCGGUAUGUAAAGCUCUAUCAGCAGGGAAGAAAGGCCCGUAAGGGAGAUGACGGUACCUGACUAAGAAGCCCCGGCUAACUACGUGCCAGCAGCCGCGGUAAUACGUAGGGGGCAAGCGUUAUCCGGAUUUACUGGGUGUAAAGGGAGCGCAGACGGUCAUGUAAGUCUGAAGUGAAACCCCACGGCUCAACCGUGGGCUUGCUUUGGAAACUAUAUGACUAGAGUACUGGAGAGGUAAGCGGAAUUCCUAGUGUAGCGGUGAAAUGCGUAGAUAUUAGGAGGAACAUCGGUGGCGAAGGCGGCUUACUGGACAGCAACUGACGUUGAGGCUCGAAGGCGUGGGGAGCAAACAGG
rnacentral:rRNA from 1 species